rnacentral:rRNA from 1 species
AGAACGAACGCUGGCGGCAGGUCUUAGGCAUGCAAGUCGAACGGAUGACAAGGGAGCUUGCUUCCUUGAAGUCAGUGGCGCACGAGUGAGUAACGCGUGGGAAACUGCCCUUCACUGGGGAAUAACGUUUGGAAACGAACGCUAAUACCGCAUACGCCCGCAAGGGGAAAGAUUUAUCGGUGAUGGAUGUGCCCGCGUUGGAUUAGCUAGUUGGUGGGGUAAUGGCCUACCAAGGCGAUGAUCCAUAGCUGGUCUGAGAGGACGAUCAGCCACGCUGGAACUGAGACACGGUCCAGACUCCUACGGGAGGCAGCAGCUAAGAAUAUUGGGCAAUGGAGGAAACUCUGAACCCCAGCCAUGCCGCGUGAAUGAAGAAGGCCUUCGGGUUGUAAAGUUCUUUUAGUCAUGAAGAUGAUGACAGUAGUGACAGAAAAAGCACCGGCUAACUUCGUGCCAGCCGCCGC